UACGUAGGGGGCAGGCGUUGUCCGGAUUUAUUGGGCGUAAAGAGCGUGUAGGCGGCUUUACAGGUCCGUUGUGAAAACUCGAGGCUCAACCUCGAGACGCCGAUGGAAACCAUCUGACUAGAGUCCGGAAGAGGAGAGUGGAAUUCCUGGUGUAGCGGUGAAAUGCGCAGAUAUCAGGAAGAACACCCGUGGCUAAGGCGGCUCUCUAGUACGGUACUGACGCUGAGACGCGAAAGCGUGGGGAGCGAACAGG
rnacentral:rRNA from 1 species